UAAGUGAAUAAGGGCGCACGGGGGAUGCCUAGGCUCUCAGAGGCGAAGAAGGACGUGAUAACCUGCGAAAAGCUACGGGGAUUGGCCAAUGCGAAUUGAUCCGUAGAUAUCCGAAUGGGGCAACCCAGUCUUUAAGACUAUCCAGUAAUGGAAGCGAACGUGGGGAACUGAAACAUCUAAGUACCCAUAGGAGGAGAAAAUAAUAAUGAUUCCGUAAGUAGUGGCGAGCGAACGCGGAAGAGCCCAAACCGGAUAUGUUACGGCAUAUCCGGGGUUGUAGGACCUGCAUAAUUUUGAUUAAUCUGACGAGAAUUGUCUGGGAAGGCAAACGAUACAGGGUGAUAGUCCCGUAUUGGAAGGAUUGAGAAGAAGGCGGGUAUCCUGAGUAGGUCGGGACCGGAGAAAUCCCGAUUGAAACUGCCAGCACCAUCUGGUAAGGCUAAAUACUCCUGAGAGACCGAUAGUGAACAAGUACCGUGAGGGAAAGGUGAAAAGUACCCUGAAUAAGGGGGUGAAAUAGAACCUGAAACCAUGCGCUUACAAGCGGUUGGAGCCCAAUAAUUGGGUGACAGCGUGCCUUUUGCAUAAUGAGCCUACGAGUUACUCCUCAUCGGCAAGGGUAAGGCAUUCAGUGCUGUACCCGGAGCGAAAGCGAGUCUGAAAGGGCGAUUGAGUCGGUGGGGGUAGACGCGAAACUUAGUGAUCUACCCAUGGCCAGGUUGAAGUGUUGGUAACACAACAUGGAGGACCGAACCGAUAAGCGUUGAAAAGCUUCCGGAUGAGCUGUGGGUAGGGGUGAAAGGCUAAUCAAACUGAGAAAUAGCUCGUACUCCCCGAAAUGUUUUUAGGAACAGCGUCGGGAAUUGUAUGACGGAGGUAGAGCUACCGAUAGGACUAGGGGGAGUCAAAUCCUACCAAAUCCUGACGAACUCCGAAUGCCGUCAUAUAGAACCGGCAGUGAGGGCUGGGGUGCUAAGGUCCCAGUCCGAGAGGGAAAGAACCCAGACCUUCCGCUAAGGUCCCCAAGUCCGUGCUAAGUUGAACAAAGGUGGUCCAGUUGCUUAGACAGCCAGGAGGUUAGCUUGGAAGCAGCUAUUCAUUUAAAGAGUGCGUAACAGCUCACUGGUCGAGCGACAGGGCGUCGAUAAUAAUCGGGCAUCAAGCGCGGCACCGAAGCGAAGGAUUGUAAUUUAUUACAAUGGUAGGGGAGCAUUCCAACGACAGUGAAGGUACAUGGUAAUGUGUGCUGGAGUUUUUGGAAAAGCAAAUGUAGGCAUAAGUAACGAUAAUGCGGGCGAGAAACCCGCACACCGUAAGACCCAGGUUUCCUGAUCAACGCUAAUCGGAUCAGGGUUAGUCGGGACCUAACGCGAACCCGAGAGGGGUAGUGGAUGGACAAUGGGUUAAUAUUCCCAUACUAUUUAUACAGGUGAUGGAGUGACGGAGUGAUGAAAGAUCCGCCCGGUGACGGAAUACCGGGUUAAAGGUAGUAGGUAUUGGCUGCAUAGUUAAAUGCGUGCGGCUAGCCGAAGCUGAUAGUACUGAGCGUUUACGGACAAUCAGAUAGUGAUCCUAAGGGCUUCCAAGAAAAACUUCUAGCGUUAAGCGUAUAGAUACCCGUACCGCAAACCGACACAGGUGGUCGAGGAGAGUAUCCUAAGGUGCUCGAGUGAAUCAUGGCUAAGGAACUCGGCAAAAUAGCCCUGUAACUUCGGGAGAAGGGGCGCCUCUGGUGACAGAGGCCGCAGUGAAGAGGCCCAGGCGACUGUUUAACAAAAACACAUGGCUUUGCGAAGUUUAACGACUAAGUAUAAGGCCUGACACCUGCCCGGUGCUGGAAGGUUAAGAGGGGGAGUUAUCGCAAGAGAAGCUCUGAAUCGAAGCCCCAGUAAACGGCGGCCGUAACGAUAACGGUCCUAAGGUAGCGAAAUUCCUUGUCGGGU
rnacentral:rRNA from 1 species